rnacentral:rRNA from 1 species
AUUGUGGUCUACGCGUUCGUGCGUGUGUUCUGGUCGCGGGCAAAGGUYUCUUGGAAUAGUUCAGCACAGAGGGUGACACUCCUGUAUUUGAUCCCCGACCGGUUCACGUUGUCGCGUUUCGUUCGAGUCGAGUUGUUUGGGAAUACAGCUCCAAGUUGGUGGUAAACUCCAUCGAAAGCUAAAUAUGAGUGGUAAACCAAUAGCAAACAAGUACCGUGAGGGAAAG